AGAGUUUGAUCCUGGCUCAGGAUGAACGCUAGCGACAGGCCUAACACAUGCAAGUCGAGGGGCAGCGGAGAGGUAGCAAUACCUUUGCCGGCGACCGGCGCACGGGUGAGUAACACGUAUGCAAUCCACCUGUAACAGGGGGAUAACCCGGAGAAAUCCGGACUAAUACCCCAUAAUAUGGGUUCUCCGCAUGGAGGGUCCAUUAAAGAGAGCAAUUUUGGUUACAGACGAGCAUGCGCUCCAUUAGCCAGUUGGCGGGGUAACGGCCCACCAAAGCGACGAUGGAUAGGGGUUCUGAGAGGAAGGUCCCCCACAUUGGAACUGAGACACGGUCCAAACUCCUACGGGAGGCAGCAGUGAGGAAUAUUGGUCAAUGGGCGCUAGCCUGAACCAGCCAAGUAGCGUGAAGGAUGAAGGCUCUAUGGGUCGUAAACUUCUUUUAUAUAAGAAUAAAGUGCAGUAUGUAUACUGUUUUGUAUGUAUUAUAUGAAUAAGGAUCGGCUAACUCCGUGCCAGCAGCCGCGGUAAUACGGAGGAUGCAAGCGUUAUCCGGAUUUAUUGGGUUUAAAGGGUGCGUAGGCGGCACGCCAAGUCAGCGGUGAAAUUUCCGGGCUCAACCCGGACUGUGCCGUUGAAACUGGCGAGCUAGAGUGCACAAGAGGCAGGCGGAAUGCGUGGUGUAGCGGUGAAAUGCAUAGAUAUCACGCAGAACCCCGAUUGCGAAGGCAGCCUGCUAGGGUGCGACAGACGCUGAGGCACGAAAGCGUGGGUAUCGAACAGGAUUAGAUACCCUGGUAGUCCACGCAGUAAACGAUGAAUACUAACUGUUUGCGAUACAAUGUAAGCGGUACAGCGAAAGCGUUAAGUAUUCCACCUGGGGAG
rnacentral:rRNA from 1 species